GAAGAAUAAGGAUCGGCUAAUUCCGUGCCAGCAGCCGCGGUAAUACGGAGGAUCCGAGCGUUAUCCGGAUUUAUUGGGUUUAAAGGGUGCGUAGGCGGCCUUUUAAGUCAGGGGUGAAAUACGGUGGCUCAACCAUCGCAGUGCCUUUGAUACUGAUGGGCUUGAAUCCAUUUGAAGUGGGCGGAAUAAGACAAGUAGCGGUGAAAUGCAUAGAUAUGUCUUAGAACUCCGAUUGCGAAGGCAGCUCACUAAGCUGGUAUUGACGCUGAUGCACGAAAGCGUGGGGAUCGAACAGGAUUAGAUACCCUGGUAGUCCACGCCCUAAACGAUGAUAACUCGAUGUUGGCGAUAGACAGCCAGCGUCUUAGCGAAAGCGUUAAGUUAUCCACCUGGGGAGUACGCCCGCAAGGGUGAAACUCAAAGGAAUUGACGGGGGCCCGCACAAGCGGAGGAGCAUGUGGUUUAAUUCGAUGAUACGCGAGGAACCUUACCCGGGCUUGAAAGUUAGUGAAGGAUGCAGAGACGCAUCCGUCCUUCGGGACACGAAACUAGGUGCUGCAUGGCUGUCGUCAGCUCGUGCCGUGAGGUGUUGGGUUAAGUCCCGCAACGAGCGCAACCCCUAUGUUUAGUUGCCAGCAUGUAGUGGUGGGGACUCUAAACAGACUGCCUGUGCAAACAGCGAGGAAGGUGGGGACGACGUCAAGUCAUCAUGGCCCUUACGUCCGGGGCUACACACGUGCUACAAUGGAUGGUACAGCGGGCAGCUAGCCGGCAACGGCAUGCUAAUCUCUAAAAGCCAUUCACAGUUCGGAUUGGGGUCUGCAACUCGACCCCAUGAAGUUGGAUUCGCUAGUAAUCGCGUAUCAGCAAUGACGCGGUGAAUACGUUCCCGGGCCUUGUACACACCGCCCGUCAAGCCAUGAAAGUUGGGGGUACCUAAAGCAUGUGACCGCAAGGAGC
rnacentral:rRNA from 1 species